rnacentral:tRNA from 1 species
GCCUUCAUGGUGUAAAGGUCAGCACACUCGGCGAGUAUUCGAGAUAUCCGAGGUUCGAGUCCCGGCGAGGGAA